GUUAUGGAUCAGCGGUAGGGCAUUUGCUUUGCAUGCAAAAGGACUCAGGUUGAAUCCUUUGUGUCUCCA
rnacentral:tRNA from 1 species